GAUGAACGCUGGCGGCGUGCCUAAUACAUGCAAGUCGAGCGAACAGACGAGGAGCUUGCUCCUCUGACGUUAGCGGCGGACGGGUGAGUAACACGUGGAUAACCUACCUAUAAGACUGGGAUAACUUCGGGAAACCGGAGCUAAUACCGGAUAAUAUAUUGAACCGCAUGGUUCAAUAGUGAAAGACGGUUUUGCUGUCACUUAUAGAUGGAUCCGCGCCGCAUUAGCUAGUUGGUAAGGUAACGGCUUACCAAGGCAACGAUGCGUAGCCGACCUGAGAGGGUGAUCGGCCACACUGGAACUGAGACACGGUCCAGACUCCUACGGGAGGCAGCAGUAGGGAAUCUUCCGCAAAGGGCGAAAACCUGACGGAGCAACGCCGCGUGAGUGAUGAAGGUCUUCGGAUCGUAAAACUCUGUUAUUAGGGAAGAACAAAUGUGUAAGUAACUAUGCACGUCUUGACGGUACCUAAUCAGAAAGCCACGGCUAACUACGUG
rnacentral:rRNA from 1 species